rnacentral:tRNA from 1 species
GAGUUGUUAGUCUAAACAAGACAGUUGAUUUCGACUUAACAAAUUACGGUUAAACCCCAUAACAACUCU